CUUGAACGACCCCAGCCACAGCGGCCGUUCGGCGUCCCGGCCCUGCCCGUAGGUGGCCAGGAGGGCUUCCGCCUC
rfam:Streptomyces cyaneogriseus subsp. noncyanogenus strain NMWT 1, complete genome.